rnacentral:rRNA from 1 species
GAUGAACGCUAGCGGCAGGCUUAAUACAUGCAAGUCGUGGGGCAGCACAGUGUAGCAAUACAUGGGUGGCGACCGGCAAACGGGUGCGUAACACGUACGCAACUUACCCAUUACAGAGGGAUAGCCCAGGGAAACUUGGAUUAAUACUUCAUAUUAUAUAGGGCUGGCAUCAGUUUUAUAUCAAAGCUACGGCGGUAAUGGAUGGGCGUGCGGUUGAUUAGAUAGUUGGCGGGGUAACGGCCCACCAAGUCUACGAUCAAUAGCUGAUGUGAGAGCAUGAUCAGCCACACGGGCACUGAGACACGGGCCCGAACUUCCUACGGGAGGCAGCAGUAAGGAAUAUUGGGCAAUGGACGCAAGUCUGACCCAGCCAUGCCGCGUGCAGGAAGACGGUUCUAUGGAUUGUAAACUGCUUUUAUACAGGAAGAAACCCUACCACGUGUGGUAGAUUGACGGUACUGUAGGAAUAAGGAUCGGCUAACUCCG